GACGAACCGUGCGAACGUUGUUCGGAAUCACUGGGCUUAAGGGGCGCGUAGGCGGGUGACCAAGUCCGGGGUGAAAGCCCCCAGCUUAACUGGGGAAGUGCCUUGGAUACUGGUCGUCUGGAGGGGGGUAGGGGCAGUGGGAACUUCCGGUGGAGCGGUGAAAUGCGUUGAUAUCGGAAGGAACGCCGGUGGCGAAAGCGCACUGCUGGACCUUUUCUGACGCUGAGGCGCGAAAGCCAGGGGAGCAAACGGG
rnacentral:rRNA from 1 species